AAAGUGGUGCAAUAUCUCCUCCAGUUUCCCUUCGGAGACUGCGAGAGAGUAUGGAAGGAGGUUUUACCAUCGGCCGAUCCAGAACAACUGCUCAAUCUCAUGGCCGAGCAGAUUUACCAAAGCCCCUUGGCGGAAUCUGCCACCACAAGUGCAACAUCUCACCAGCCUGUGGCACGCAUCCUCAGGAUGGAAGGACUACAAGGCAGCUGGUGCGCUGGAACUUCCCACAGCUGCUGAUCGCUCUCCUGGGGAUGGUUGUCAACUUCCACUACUAUCCAGGAAUU